rnacentral:lncRNA from 1 species
CCACGGUGGAGGGAGGUGGGAGGCCGAGACGGCCCCGGGGGUCGGCGGAGACCCAGCGGGAGCAGGGGGAAAUCGGAAGAGCUGGGGGCAUGGAGCGGGCGAGUUUGGAGCGGAAUGAGCCGGGAGCCCUACGUUGUGGAAGGAAGACAACAGUAUAGGACCAUCAGCAGGACCGGACAGAGAGGGGCACCCCUGGCUGUCCUGGAACUUGUAGACCAGGCUGGCCUUGAACUCAGAAAUCCGCCUGCCUCUGACUCCCGAGUGCUGAGAUUAAAGGUGUGCACCACCACACCCGACAAGGAAGCCUGUUUUAAGAAGUGAUUCCAUGGAGGAGUUCUGCGGCGGCUCAGGGCUUGACUAAACAGUGGACCUCAGACAAGAGAGGCUAAACCAGGCUGCAGGUGACAGGAAGAAUUGAAUAAACUGAAAGCAAAGGGCAGCCUUCUAAUUACGCUUCGUGGCUAUGUGGACAACCUGGAGAAGUCUGGAAACGUGAGUGGUGCUAAUCCCCUUUGUAAUGAAAGGCCCGGGUAAAAACAGAUGGGGCAAGUAGGUGUAAUGGGUAUUUCAGGAGCUUGAAUCUGAUGUCACAGCUUGUCUGGAUGGGACGUGCAUCUACUUGCAGAGCUAUGUUCCCAUCUAGUGUAAUUGUGGGUGUUUUAAUUCAGGCGUCACCUCUAUUUUGUCCUCUCUCCACAGCUUUCCUCCUCCAUUUUACUACUUGAGGGAGCAGUGGGUGGGAUACUAGGCAAGUAGCUGCAAUGGCUGGUGCUUUAUGGUUCCCUGGCAUCCCCUGAAUCUGUUAACAUCCCAACCUUCUUGACAGCCAGCCCCACCCCAUCACAUUCUUACUCCUUCCCUUUCCAAGAAAGAAGCCAGAAGCCCGAAGCCAGCAGUAGAGCUCUGACUGGCUUGUAUGCCUAGAAAGGAAGGGCUCUUCUUUCGCCUCACGGGCACAAAUGGGACCCACGAGCGCCGAUUUCAGACUAUUCUGAUCCCUUCAAAAAGAAAGUUAGGAGUCCAGGCUACUUCACUUUGGUGAUAGUAAUCAAACCCUAAUCACGGUGCAGCCACAAGUCACAGAGACCGAAAUAGCAGACUUAUGACAGACAAGGAUGGAGACAGCUAAGGAACUGGCUAUUAAUCACCAGUCCCUCUGCUCACAGCCCAUUGGGUAGGUGUCUGGAGAAGAGCUGAAGCAAAGGGUUAUCAGCCUGUGCCCCAGGCCUCUGAGCAGCCAAGGCCCCUAGGUCCCAGAACAACACAGUGAACAGGAAAUGGCCUCCAAGAAAGUUAAGUUCUCUGCAUGUGUCAAGGAGAGGUGGUUCACAG